ensembl:lncRNA
UCCCUUCCUCUCUCCCAUCCUCUUUCUCUCUUUCUCUCCCUCACACUCCCUCUCCUCUCUUGCUCUGGGGAAGCAAGUCCUGUGAAGAGGCCCACAUGUCAAGGAACUGAGCCUCUGGCCGAAAGCCAGCAAGAAACCGAAACCUGCCAGCAACAAGAGUGAGCUUGGAAGCCAACUGUGCAGCCCCAGCUGGGCUUUGAGAUGACUGCAACCCCAGCCCACAGCUUGCCUGAAACCUCUCGAGAGGCCCUGAGCCAGAACCACCCAGCUGAGCCACUCCCUGAUUCCUGACCUCAGAAACUAUGUGAGGUCAUAGAUGUUUGCUGUUUAAGCUGCUGCAUUUUGAAGGAAUCUGUUACACAGCAAUAGAAAACUAAUACAGCCCUCUACAGAGCAAUUGAACAGAGUCAUUUUUGGAACUGUUGGUGGGAGGCUGGAGCGAUAGAAUGCAAAUAGCUGCUUCUCCUUACUUCUAUGAGCCUCUGUUUCCUCGUCGAAAAACAAGGGAAAGUCUGAUUGGGCAGUUCUCCUUAGAGGCUGUCCUCAAGACAGUGACUCAGGAUCUGGGCUGCUUCUGUAUUACGGCUCUGCCAUCUCCUAGUGCCUCCAUGGACUCCUCUGCUUGGUCAUCACUCAGCCAUCAAGUAAAGAGAGAGACAGCAAGGAGGAUCACCCAGGAUGUUUCAUAGACAAGUCUGGAAGUGGUGUACAUUACUUCCCUCCACAUGCCAUUGCCCAGAACAUGGUCAACUAACACCAGCCUAACAGCAAGCAGGACUGGGACACGAGUCUUAUCCAGAAAGAGGAAGUGGAAUUGACUCACUUUUGUACACCAUCUUCAUGCAAAUGGUGGAGCCCUCCUCAACUGGAACUGCCCUCAAUAAGUCAUAAUGUGGACUUUGACCUCUGACCACAUUUGGAAAGUGACCAAAUCAAGACAGAAAAAUCUAACUUGCCAAAGACCACAUAGGAAGUUCUUGGCAAAGUCAGAUGAGAAAACAGAGUUCAUGAACUUCAAGAGCCAACAUUUUUAACCACUGCCUCUGUUCCUUGUUUUGGGAACCCUUUUCCAAUAAAAAAAAAAGUAGAAAAUUCUAGAAUUUUCUUGCUUUUUUUCCAUGACCAAUUUAAUGGAGUGGUGGAAAGAGCUCUGCACUAGGAGUUAGAGACUUAGACUCUUUAAAAAAAACAAAAACAACUUUGUACAGUGCAACAUUUCAAUGAAUCCUUUGUCCCAUCGCUCAGCUUCAAGAAUCUUAAACUCAUAGCCUAUCUUAUUUCAACUAUAUCCCACUGAAUUCCUUCCUCUCACGUAAUUUUGAAGCAAAUCCCAGACAUCAUACCAUUUCAUCCAUAAAUAUUUCAGUAUGUAUCUCUAAAAGAUGUCUUUUUUUAAAAAACAUAACCACAAUACCACUAUCAUACCUAAAGCAUUUGAUAAUAAUUAUUUAAUACAAUAAAAUAUACAAUCUAUAUUCAACAUUCCCACUAUCUCAUAAAUAUAAUAAUUUUAACAGUUUGUUUGAAUCAAGAUCCAAAUAAAGUCCACUCAUUGUGAUUCACUAUAUGUCUGUAGGUCUUUUAAAAAUUUCUAGGCUUUCUCUCCAUAUCUUUUUUUGAUUUGUAACUUAUUUAUUGAAGAAACCAGGUCAUUGUCCUGGAGGCACAUAUUAAAUUUUGUUGAUGGCAACCCUGUGGUAUUAUUUAACAUGUUCCUCAAUUCUCUGGUUUUAAAUUGGUAGUUGAAUCAACAGGUCUGAAAAGAUUCAAAUUUGGCUGCCUUUGGCAAGAGUCUUUGAUAGAUGGGGUGUGUUUUCAUCAGGAGGCGAUAAUGUCCGUUUAUCUCCUGUUUUAUCAUGUUAGCACAUGUUGGUGCUCAAGGUCUAGGUUCAUUAAUUCAUUAAGGAUUGUAGAAUAAUGAUAUUAUAAUUCUGUUAGUCUGUCUUCAUUCCUUAGCCAGAAUAAAAAGAAAGUUUCCCUGGUUUACUAUAUAGCUCCCCAGAAGUACAAUUCAUAAAGCAAAGGCAGGAUAAGUGCUUAAUUCUUUCCUCUUUUUCUUUUUUUUUUUUUGGUGAAGAUUGGCUCUGAACUAACAUUUAUUUCCAAUCUUCCUCUUUUUGCUUGAAGAAGAUUGUCGCUGAGCUAACGUCUGUACCAGUCUUCCUCUAUUUUGCAUGUGGGACAGCACCACAGGAUGGCUGAUGAGUGGUGUGUAGGUCCUCCCAGGAUCUGAACCCAUGAACCCCAAGCCACCUGAAGUGGAGUGCACAAACUUAACCACUACGCCACUGGGCUGGCCCCUUAAGUCUUUCUUUUUACUAUUAAUUUUCAAAAUAAUGAAUUGGUUUACUAGUAUCAUACAAUGAUGACUAACUAGUUGUUAUUUUUUAGUAUCAUUAUGAACUCAUAGGAGUUUAUAGUUCACUAGAGGAAAUAGAUGUACAUUGACAAUUAUAAUACAACACGAUUUUGUGUUAUAGUAAAAGUAAGUAAACACUUCUAUGGGCAUCCAGAAGUGAGAGUAUCUAACUCUGCUUUAUGGGGUAUGACAAAGGCCUCAAAAAGGAGACAGUACUUGAGUUGAGUGCUGAGAGUUGGAGGUCACCAGGCACAGAAAAUCAAGAAUUUGUUCUCCCAUGACUAAUAAAACAUUAGCUGAGUCCACCUCUGCAAAUGGCUCCAAGCUUUUUUUUUUUUUUUUUUGCUGAGGAAGAUUCACUCUGAGCUAACAUCCACUGCCAGUCUUCCUCUUUUUGUAUGUGAGCUGCUGACAGAUGAGUGGUGUAUGUACAUGCCUGGGAACCGAACCUGGGCUGCCAAAGCAGCGCAUACCAAACUACACCACUAGGCCAUCGGGGCUUGCCCCAUUUCCAAGCUUUUUAUCUAGCACAGCUGAUGAGGUGGAAGGAAAUGAAUGAAAUUCACUAAGUCAGGAUAUAAAACGGGUAAGGAGGAAGAGUCAUGUGGUGGGAUGGGAACUGUAGGGAUGGGAUGAAGAAAUCAGCUCUUAUAUGUUGAGUUUGUGAUGCCUUUGGGAUAUCCAGGUAGAAAUGUUUGGCAGACAGCUGGAAAUAAGGUAUAAAGCACAGGAACACCAGCUGUCCAGACAGAUCAAUUUAAGAUUAACCAGCAUGUAACAGUGAAGUCCUGCAAGUGGGGUGAGAUCACUCAAGGAGGGUAGAAUAAGAAGAAAAGGGGCACUAAGAAGAAUCUACCUCCAUAUUUAAGGAGUCUGCAGCGGAAGAGAAAUCUACAAGGGAUCCUGAAAAGGAGCAGAGAAGUAGGAAAUAGCCUGUAAGCCAAAGGAGGGGACAGUUCGAGAAAACACAGAGAGGUCCGGGGAAAUAUCAACUGAAAAGUAAACCACUGGGCUUUCCAAUUAGGUGGCCACUAGCGAUCUCACCAAAGGCUGUUUCAUGGAUUGGUGAGGAUAGAACCUACAUUUCAACGCAUGCACAGUGCAUAAGAGGGGAGGAAAUAGAGACAGAAAUGAAAUUACUGUUUUCAAAAAGUUUGGUAGGGUCUGACAGUGUGAAAACUCAUUAUUCUAGAUUGCGUCCCAUAUGUAACAUAAAAUCAACUAAUCAAUAAAUAUUUAUUGUAAGCUUAUUACGUAUAAGCCAUUGUGCCAAAGUAUUACUAGUGUAAAAAAGAUAUUUAUGGCAUAGUCCUUGUUGUAAAGGAUACAAUUGUGAAGGAGAAAGUAUGCAAAUUCAUAAAUGCAUGUUUAAAAAGAAAGUUCUUCAGAAACCCUAAGAAAUCAAAUUAAAUAAAGCAUUUUUUAAAUAUGUUGGCCUUCAUUAUCUCUUUAAAAUUGUACAAAGAUUGCAUGUUCAUGAUUCUAAAAAGCAAGGAAAAUGUGUGCUCUUAAAAAAAUAAAUAUAAAAUAAAUUUGAUGCGUGAAAC